rnacentral:lncRNA from 1 species
GCAAUGUUCUUGCAGCAUAUACUUGCUUUUUGUGGGAAAUAGAAGAUGGAGAAAGCUGAUGUAGUUCAAGGUAGCAGUGAUAUUCCAGAGAUCUUUUAACAGAAAAUCCCAUACCUGUUGACAAAUAUUCAAGAGAAGGUGCUAACCAUGCUUGAGAAGGUGCACGUGAAUCUUAUACAUAAUAUCAUUGGAGAGGAGAGGAAACCAUUAACAGAAAAUAAAAAUAAUAAAAAUAAAAUUCAAGGAGUAAAACAUAUAUAUAUAUAUAUAUAUAUAUAUAUAUAUAUAU